rnacentral:rRNA from 1 species
UUUAUGGAGAGUUUGAUCCUGGCUCAGGAUGAACGCUGGCGGCGUGCCUAAUACAUGCAAGUCGAGCGAACGGACGAGAAGCUUGCUUCUCUGA